AUUAGGCUAAAAACAGGACAAAGGAAGAGGUGAGGGCAAACGGAAAAUGCCAUGGAAGGCACUGCCCAGCACGGCCAGGGCCCAGAACCCUCCUCACAGCCUUCAUUCAUCUGCAGCCAGGCCCUGUGCUGGGCCCUGGGGAUGCAAAGUUAAAUGCACUGUCACGCCUGCCCUCCAGGAGCUCCCAGUCCAGCCGGGGAGGCUAUACAAACAGACCGUCACGGUACAGGAUGAGGCUUUCUUGGACAGACCUCUACGAGACGUGAGGUCAACGGGGGCAGAUCGGUAUUUCUACCUGGUUUGAGAAGGAAAACUGAUGCCCAAAAGGAAGUCGUGUUCUCACAUGAAAUGCACCAGAGCCCCGAGGACACACUCGUGAAAGAAAUCAUCAGGACGGGUUCUGCAGUUCAAGACAAGACAGCGGCCCCAGUCCCGGUCUGAGAGAGAAGCGAACAGUGCAGUGGGGAGGCGACGUGAGGCGAUGCUCAAUGACACGGGCAGGAGGGGGCCUGCCCGCCCUUCCCAGCCCGCUCCUUCUCGGGCCUGCUGACGUGUCCUCUGCAGCCCAUGGGGGCAGUAGCCCAUCUGGGGCAGGGCACGUACUCUCUAAACCUUAGUUUCUUCUUCCUACGAAAAGCCGGCCUUGUAGGGCUGCGGGGAGGGUGAACGUGUUACACAGGAAGAGCUCCUAACACAGUGCCUGGCACAUAAUAACCACUCAAGAAAUGCUUUCAACAACGGUAACUAACAGCGGGGGCACCGGCUGGCUCGGUGGGUAGAGCGUGCCGCUCUUAAUCUCAGGGUCGUGAGUUCAAGCCCCAAGCUGGGCGUAGAGUUUACU